CACGUAGGGGGCAAGCGUUGUCCGGAUUUAUUGGGCGUAAAGGGCUCGUAGGCGGCUUGGCAAGUCGGAUGUGAAAACUCGAGGCUCAACCUCGAGACGCCAUUCGAUACUGCUAUGGCUUGAGUCUGGUAGGGGAGCACGGAAUUCAUGGUGUAGCAGUGAAAUGCGUAGAUAUCAGGAGGAACACCGGUGGUGUAGACGGCUUUCUGGACCGUAACUGACGCUGAGACACGAAAGCGUGGGUAGCAAACAGG
rnacentral:rRNA from 1 species